rnacentral:rRNA from 1 species
CCUACGGGCGGCAGCAGUGAGGAAUAUUGGUCAAUGGGCUUACGCCUGAACCAGCCAAGUCGCGUGCGGGAAGACUGCCCUAUGGGUUGUAAACCUCUUUUGUCAGGGAGCAACGCCGGCUACGUGUAGCCGGACUGAGAGUACCUGAAGAAAAAGAAUCGGCAAACUCCGUGCCAGCAGCCGCGGUAAUACGGAGGAUGCGAGCGUUAUCCGGAUUGAUUGGGUUUAAAGGGUGCGUAGGCGGAAUGCCAAGUCAGCGGUAAAAUCGCGGGGCUCAACCUCGCUCCGCCGUUGAAACUGGCGUUCUUGAGUGGGCGAGAAGUAUGCGGAAUGCGUGGUGUAGCGGUGAAAUGCAUAGAUAUCACGCAGAACUCCGAUUGCGAAGGCAGCAUACCGGCGCCCAACUGACGCUGAAGCACGAAAGCGUGGGUAUCGAACAGGAUUAGAUACCCCAGUAGUC